GGGGUCCUGGCUUAGUGGUAGAGUAUUUGCUUUGUAUGCAGAAGGUCCUAGGUUCAAUUCCUAGCAUCUCCA